GUCAGGAUGGCCGAGUGGUCUAAGGCGCCAGUCUCAAGGACUGGAGGCGAGGGUUCAAAUCCCUCUUCUGACA